UACGUAGGGUGCAAGCGUUGUCCGGAAUUAUUGGGCGUAAAGAGCUCGUAGGCGGUUUGUCGCGUCUGCUGUGAAAACUCGGGGCUUAACUCCGGGCCUGCAGUGGGUACGGGCAGACUAGAGUGCGGUAGGGGAGACUGGAAUUCUUGGUGUAGCGGUGAAAUGCGUAGAUAUCAAGAGGAACACCUGCGGCGAAGGCGGGUUGCUGGGCCGACACUGACGCUGAUGCGCGAAAGCUAGGGGAGCGAACGGG
rnacentral:rRNA from 1 species